UACGGGGGGGGCAAGCGUUGUUCGGAAUUACUGGGCGUAAAGGGCUCGUAGGCGGCCAACUAAGUCAUACGUGAAAUCCCUCGGCUUAACCGGGGAACUGCGUCUGAUACUGGAUGGCUUGAGAUUGGGAGAGGGAUGCGGAAUUCCAGGUGUAGCGGUGAAAUGCGUAGAUAUUCGGAAGAACACCAGUGGCGAAGGCGGCUUACUGGUCCGGUUCUGACGCUGAGGCGCGAAAGCGUGGGGAGCAAACAGG
rnacentral:rRNA from 1 species